rnacentral:rRNA from 1 species
CUUGACAAACUUAUAAGAGGUCCAGCCUGCCCAGUGACUCUGUUCAACGGCCGCGGUAUCCUAACCGUGCGAAGGUAGCGUAAUCACUUGUUCUUUAAAUGAGGACUAGUAUGAAUGGCACCACGAAGGUUAUACUGUCUCCUUUUUCUAAUCAGUGAAACUAAUCUUCCCGUGAAGAAACGGGAAUAAAAAUAUAAGACGAGAAGACCCUAUGGAGCUUUAAACAAAUAUACACCUGCCUAUUUACCAAAAAUUUCAGAAGACAAGUAAUUACCCGGGCAUUUUGAUAUAGCGUUUUAGGUUGGGGUGACCGCGGAGCAAAAAAUAACCUCCGCAGCGAACGGGAGUAUUCCCUAAACCAAGGGCCACAACCCCAAGUAUUGAUAAAUCAACACCAAUUGACCCAAUAAAUUUGAUCAAUGAAC